CACGCAGUAAACGAUGAUCACUAGACGUCUGGUCCUUUGGACUGGGUGUCGCAGCUAACGCGAUAAGUGAUCCACCUGGGGAGUACGGUCGCAAGAUUAAAACUUAAAGAAAUUGACGGGGAUCCGCACAAGCGGUGGAACAUGUGGUUUAAUUCGAUACUACGCGAGGAACCUUACCUGGGCUUGACAUGUUUAUGAUCGCCAUAGAGAUAUGGUUUUUGAAGGGAAACCGGAUACAUAUUCACAGGUGC
rnacentral:rRNA from 1 species